rnacentral:rRNA from 1 species
GAUGAACGCUGGCGGCGUGCCUGAUACAUGCAAGUCGAGCGAACGGACGAGAAGCUUGCUUCUCUGAUGUUAGCGGCGGACGGGUGAGUAACACGUGGAUAACCUACCUAUAAGACUGGGAUAACUUCGGGAAACCGGAGCUAAUACCGGAUAAUAUUUUGAACCGCAUGGUUCAAAAGUGAAAGACGGUCUUGCUGUCACUUAUAGAUGGAUCCGCGCUGCAUUAGCUAGUUGGUAAGGUAACGGCUUACCAAGGCAACGAUGCAUAGCCGACCUGAGAGGGUGAUCGGCCACACGGGAACUGAGACACGGUCCAGACUCCGACGGGAGGCAGCAGUAGGGAAUCUUACGCAAUGGGCGAGAGCCUGACGGAGCAACGCCGCGUGAGUGAUGAAGGUCUUCGGAUCGUAAAACUCUGUUAGUAGGGAAGAACAUAUGUGUAAGUAACUGUGCACAUCUUGACGGUACCUAAUCAGAAAGCCACGGCUAACUACGUG